UAAAAGGCUCUUUUAAGAGCCACCACGUGGUUAAUAWGGAGAGAAAU
rfam:Scleropages formosus scaffold20674, whole genome shotgun sequence.